UCCAGUUCCUGUAUAAUCACCAAAGUUAAGCAGCAUCAAGCCUGAUCAGUACUUCAAUGGGUGACCACCUGGGAAUACCAUGUGCU